rnacentral:rRNA from 1 species
CAGUAGCCGCGGGAAUACGUAGGGUGCAAGCGUUAAUCGGAAUUACUGGGCGUAAAGCGCACGCAGGCGGUCUGUCAAGUCGGAUGUGAAAUCCCCGGGCUCAACCUGGGAACUGCAUUCGAAACUGGCAGGCUAGAGUCUUGUAGAGGGGGGUAGAAUUCCAGGUGUAGCGGUGAAAUGCGUAGAGAUCUGGAGGAAUACCGGUGGCGAAGGCGGCCCCCUGGACAAAGACUGACGCUCAGGUGCGAAAGCGUGGGGAGCAAACAGGAUUAGAUACCCGAGUAGUCCCUGUCUCUUAUAC